GGAACCAGCAAGAGGGAACACAAGAAUACUGUCAAGAAGCAUUUCUUCAUCAACAGUAGUGUGGCUGGACAAAAUGACAUACCACUUCCAGUAGAAUCCAUGCAGCAUCAACAGUGUAUUCAGCCAAGACUCAGACUGCAUUUCAGAUCCAAACCUGGGAGGCAUCAGACCCACUUGGAAGGAAACUGUAGGUAGAUUUUAUAGAAACUGCUGACCAAGACCCAAAUCUCCAGUGGGAGCCUACAUGGGUGACUGGCUAUCCUAAUAGUCUUCUUAUCAAGUAGAAGAGGAUGAAGUCUGUUGUUCUCUGAACCUUGACCAGUUGGGGACUCUGUUGUUAAUUACCAUCUACAGAAGAAAGAACAUUCACUGAUGGGAACUGAGUGAUUCACUUCUCUAGUAGUAUAAUGAUAAGCAACUAUAAAACGAUGCCAUUUAGCAAAUAAUAGCAGUAAUGUCCAUAGCCUG
rnacentral:lncRNA from 1 species